UACGUAGGGGGCAAGCGUUGUCCGGAAUCAUUGGGCGUAAAGAGCGUGUAGGCGGCCAGAAAAGUCCGCUGUGAAAACUCGAGGCUCAACUUCGAGCUGUCGGUGGAAACUUUCUGGCUAGAGUCCGGAAGAGGAGAAUGGAAUUUCCAGUGUAGGAGUGAAAUCCGUAGAUAUUGGAAGGAACACCAAUGGCGUAGGCAGAUAACUGGCUCAUUUCUGACACUAAGGCACGAAAGCGUGGGGAGCAAACGGG
rnacentral:rRNA from 1 species